rnacentral:rRNA from 1 species
AUUGAACGCUGGCGGCAGGCCUAACACAUGCAAGUCGAACGAGUGGCGGACGGGUGAGUAAUGUCUGUGAAACUGCCUGAUGGCGGGGGAUAACUACUGGAAACGGUAGCUAAUACCGCAUACCAUCGGAUGUGCCCAGAUGGGAUUAGCUAGUAGGGGGGGUAACGGCUUACCUAGGCUACGAUCCAUAGCUGGUCUGAGAGAAUGACAAGCAAAACUGGAACUGAGAAACGGUCCAGACUCCUACGGGAGGCAGCAGGGGGGAAUAUUGCAAAAUGGGCGCAGUCCUGAUGCAGCCAUGCCGCGGGUAUGAAGAAGGCCUUCGGGUUGUAAAGUACUUUCAGCGGGGAGGCGUUACUCGCAGAAGAAGCACCGGCUAACUCCGUGCCAGCAGCCGCGGUAAUUC